AUGAAUACAGUAUAGAGUUACUGCUGCUGUUCUUCAUGUGUUUAGUAUGAAUACAGUAUAGAGUUACUGCUGCUGUUCUUCAUGUGUUUAAUAUGAAUACAGUAUAGAGUUACUGCUGCUGUUCUUCAUGUGUUUAAUAUGAAUACAGUAUAGAGUUACUGCUGCUGUUCUUCAUGUGUUUAGUAUGAAUACAGUAUAGAGUUACUGCUGCUGUUCUUCAUGUGUUUAGUAUGAAUACAGUAUAGAGUUACUGCUGCUGUUCUUCAUGUGUUUAGUAUGAAUACAGUAUAGAGUUACUGAUGCUGUUCUUCAUGUGUUUAAUAUGACUAACACACUAAGACUAAGAGCUGUAUUCAGUCCGUAUCGUGGAAAUUCAGCGUUACAGUGUGAUUUAAAUUUAAAGGCAAUGUACCCACGUUAGUGGAGACUACAUUCAAGGUAAACACUGUAUAUUUAGACUCAAUCAGAAAUGACCUUUACAUUUCUGUCAGUCAAUCUGUAACCCUUCAUCAAUACAGACUGAAUAGAGUACUAAGUAGAGAUAUUAGUGUUUCACCUGUAUGUUUCAGAUGCUGCUGUUGGACCAAGUCAUUUGACAUACGCCCAGAUUCAACUCACAAAGUUGGACAAGAAAAAGAAGGUGACUAAACUGUGACAUCAAUUAAUAAUGUGCAGUGUGUCAAUGAUUAGUUGAAACAUUUUAAAAUGUUUUAAAAUACAACAAAAUCUCUGCCCCUCUUCCUCUUUCUCAGAAAAGCCAGCUGAUCCAAAAGAAAGUCCAGUCUACUCUGAGGUGAAGACAGGAAAAGCCACAACAGCUGGACCUGUUGAUGUGACCUAUGCUGAGGUUGUCCUCCAAAAGAAGACCAAAGCCAAGAAGAAGAGAAACAACCCCACCUGAGACAGAUUCAGUCUAUUCUCAACUGAAGCCAGGUAAGACUAAUAUCCAUAUGCUAUUGAUACUAAUAUGAUACUUAUAUGUAAACCUCUCACCACAGACUUGGACAGAUCAGCAAGGGAAUAAGGGUGAAAAACACAUCUCAGUGUAUGAACUUGUAUGAUAUUGACUGGUGUAAAGUACUUAAGUAAAAAUGAUUUCAGGUACUACUUAACACUUUGGUUAUCUUUACUUUAAACUUUAAUAUUCAUACUUUUACUUUUACUUUACAUUUCUAAAGAAAAUCAUGUACUUUUUACUCCAUAUAUUUUCCUUGACACCCAAAAGUACUUAGCAGGACAGGAUAAUGGUCCAAUUCACACACUUAUCAAGAGAACACGUGGUCAUCCCUACUGCCUCUGAUAUGGCGGACUCACUAAACACAAAUGCAUCGUUUGUAAAUUAUGUCUGA
rnacentral:lncRNA from 13 species